GGGAAGAGAAGCUGCGAGCACCCUGCUGCAGAAGGGCAGUUUGCUGGACAGCUGGUGUUUGGGUGUGUUUGCUCUGAAACUGGGGAGCACACAGACGCUGGGAGCAGAUCCCCCCUGAUUUAGACCCUGGUGCCUUUGGCUUAGUGAAAGGAGCUCAUCUGAUUUACGGUGGUGGGAGAUGGAGCAGAUAACCACGACGAAUAAACUGGCUCCUCUCUUCCUUGCUUACCUGGAGGAAGCUGCUGGGUAUCUCUGUCACCUCUGUACAAGUGCAGAAAUGGAGGCAGAAGGGCAUGGAAAGUCUGUGCCAGCAUCUGACAUGGUUUCUGAGCACCCUGGUUCUCAUCUCGGAGCCUCAGCCACAGGACACUGUGUUUUCUUGCAGCCAAGGAGAAGUUGGAGGUAGAGGAAAUGAAGGAACUGUUGGUAGCUGCCAUUUCUCAUGGAAAAAAUUGAGUGGUAUUGUCUAUUUUUAUAAUAGGUUUUUCAGAAAGUGUGCCAGGAUUGAUUUCAAAACUGUAGAAUUAGAGAAUCUCUGACAUCGCCAGGUCAGUUGCUCCAAAGGUUAAUAAUUUCUGUUAAAAACAACCCUUUGCUUCUCACACAGUGUUUGGGGAUGGCGAAUGAAGGCACGGGUCUGCUCUCCUCUGUGCUCUUUCCUUUGCUGGCUGCUAAAGCCAGAAUUACUUCCCGAGACUCCACAUACUGACAGUGCAAGUGCACAAUUCAACACUGCUCCCAAAUGCCCAGAUGUGGUGGGGGCUGACCUCCCCACCUAAAUAAAUCUAAAUAAAUCUCCUCUGCCCUGCUAGGAGCUCACGUGUGAAAGCCCUGCAGCAGGGCUGGUGGCAGCCGGCCCUCCUAGGGGAGUAUUUUGCAAGCUAGAAAAGAAAAGCUUAAAACCAUCAGGAUGUCUCACUGUCUGAGAAAAUCUAUCUGAGAUUAUUCCGAGCCUUGUUCCCAAUCAACCCGAGGCGACAGGAGAAUUGCAUGCUCCUGUGAUUUAAUCAAGAAGGACGCAGCGUGGUCCAGCCGCUGUUCGGCUGCUGCUCAGAGCACAGCUGUGCCAGCCGGGCAGCCCAAAAAGCAGCAAACAGGCCUGAGGGGAUCAACUGCCUGAAAAAAUGCUUAGGCUGCACCCUGCUUAGCCCCUCCGCUCACAAAACGGCCAGCUAAUAACAGGCAGAUCCUCAAAUCACCAUUGAAGGUGUUGUGAGGGAAUGGCCUCACUCUGCUAACUUUCAAUAAUCGGCAAAGCACCAGCAAUAGAGUUUGUGCACUGCGGUGGAAGAGAUCUAUUAAGAGUACUUUCCAAGCCUGUGCUGCUGGGGAGAAGAGUUAAUUGAAACUAUAGUGCUUAUUUUAAUUGUGUCUGUCCAUAAGCUUUAGCUGGGAUUGCUGUGCCGAGCUGGCUUCCCCACUCCGAUGGCUCCGGCUGAUGGUACAGUAUCAGCAGCUUUGGAUUUAUUUUCGUAAAGUGCAGCAGGACUUCAGGGCCGACCAGUAACCAGCCCUUGCAGAGAGACUGGGCUGCCUUCAUCCUUUCCACGGCGGGCUCUUAGGGCCGUGGGGUUUGCCUCCAUCACUGCUCCCACCC